CCGCCGUAAUUCCAACUUCAAUAGCGUAUAUUAAAGUUGUUCCAGUUAAAAAGCUCGUAGUUGAAUUUCGGGACUGGGCGGGCGGUCCGCCCUUGGGCGUCACUGGGUCUGGCCGGUUCUUUCCUCUUGGUGAAUCUGAUGCUAUUAAUUUGGGGGCGUGGGGAAACCAGGACGUUUACUUUGAAAAA
rnacentral:rRNA from 1 species